rnacentral:miRNA from 1 species
UACCGGUCGGUCACCGGUUCU